rnacentral:rRNA from 1 species
UACGGAAGGCAGCAGUGGGGAAUAUUGCACAAUGGGCGAAAGCCUGAUGCAGCUAUGCCGCGUGUAUGAAGAAGGCCUUAGGGUUGUAAAGUACUUUCAUCGGGGAGGAAAAAAACAAAACUAAUAAUUUUAUUUCUUGACGUUACCCGAAAAAGAAGCACCGGCUAACUCCGUGCCAGCAGCCGCGGUAAUACGGAGGGUGCUAGCGUUAAUCAGAAUUACUGGGCGUAAAGAGCACGUAGGUGGUUUUUUUAAGUCAGAUGUGAAAUCCCUGGGCUUAACCUAGGAACUGCAUUUUGAAACUGAAAUACUAGAGUAUCGUAGAGGGAGGUAGAAUUCUAGGUGUAGCGGUGAAAUGCGUAGAUAUCUGGAGGAAUACCUGUGGCGAAAGCGGCCUCCUAAACGAAUACUGACACUGAGGUGCGAAAGCGUGGGGAGCAAACAGGGAUUAGAUACCCGU